CCUACGGGUGACUGCAGUAGGGAAUAUUGCUCAAUGGGGGAAACCCUGAACCAGCAACGCCGCGUGGAGGAUGAAGGUUUUCGGAUUGUAAACUCCUUUUGUUAGAGAAGAUAAUGACGGUAUCUAACGAAUAAGCACCGGCUAACUCCGUUCCAGCAGCCGCGGUAAUAAGGAGGGUGCAAGCGUUAUUCGGAAUCACUGGGGGUAAAGGGGGCGUAGGCGGGUUAGCAAGUCAGAUGUGAAAUGCUAUGGCUUAACCAUAGCACUGCAGUUGAAACUGUUAUUCUAGAGUAAGGGAGAGGUAGGGGGAAUGCUUGGUGUAGCGGUGAAAUGCGUAGAGAUCAAGAGGAACACCCAUUGCGAAGGCGGCCUGCUAGAACAUAACUGACGCUGAUGCGCGAAAGCGUGGGGAGCAAACAGGAUUAGAUACCCCUGUAGUC
rnacentral:rRNA from 1 species